rnacentral:rRNA from 1 species
AACGCGAAGAACCUUACCAGCUUUUGACAUGCCCUGGACGGAGGCCGGAGACGGCCUCUUCUCUUCGGAGCCAGGGACACAGGUGCUGCAUGGCUGUCGUCAGCUCGUGUCGUGAGAUGUUGGGUUAAGUCCCGCAACGAGCGCAACCCUCGCCCUUAGUUGCCAUCAUUAAGUUGGGCACUCUAGGGGGACUGCCGGUGAUAAGCCGCGAGGAAGGUGGGGAUGACGUCAAGUCCUCAUGGCCCUUACAAGCUGGGCUACACACGUGCUACAAUGGCGGUGACAAUGGGAUGCGGAGGGGCGACCCCGAGCAAAUCUCAAAAAGCCGUCUCAGUUCGGAUUGCACUCUGCAACUCGGGUGCAUGAAGGUGGAAUCGCUAGUAAUCGCAGAUCAGCACGCUGCGGUGAAUACGUUCCCGGGCCUUGUACACACCGACAUA